AUACGGAGGGUGCAAGCGUUAAUCGGAAUUACUGGGCGUAAAGCGCGCGUAGGCGGUUUUGUAAGUCGGAUGUGAAAGCCCAGGGCUCAACCUUGGAAUUGCAUUCGAAACUGCAUGACUAGAGUAUGGUAGAGGGAAGUGGAAUUCCAGGUGUAGCGGUGAAAUGCGUAGAUAUCUGGAGGAACAUCAGUGGCGAAGGCGACUUCCUGGACCAAUACUGACGCUGAGGUGCGAAAGAGUGGGGAGCAAACAGGAUUAGAAACCCUAGUAGUCC
rnacentral:rRNA from 1 species